ensembl:lncRNA SNHG14 small nucleolar RNA host gene 14
GUCGGCUACAGGAAGUAAAAAUGGCAAUAUGGUGCUCAGGGUGCAUUCAUCACUAUAACAGAUAACCAUUUUGUUAAUGGUGCCCUGCGCGGUAACUGAAAUUGUACUGGGCUUUCAACAGAAUUUUGUCAAAAUGGGACGCUGCAUGAGCUAAUAAGUUGUGAAAUAAAUAGGGUUUUAUUGUGGAGUAAUAAGUAACACAAAGAAGGGGGUUUGCAGUAUCUUAGGAAGAAGAACAGACGUUCUUGGUAAAGUUCCUUUAAUAUGAAAAUAGCAUUUUUAAAUACUUGGAGUAGUGAGUGAAGAAGCUUUCUCUAUGAGAGCACGGUUAGUUCCCAAAUAAAUCCCAGCCUCCUCUCUUCUGUUAAUUUCUUCGGAAGGAUUUGAGGUAGCUUUUGAAGUAUUUGGUCAAAGUUGCAAACUCCUCGGGAGGAGGCCAGGCAUGGUACCUCACGCCUGUAAUCCCAGCAUUUUGGGAGGCUGAGGCGGGAGGAUCACCUGAGGUCAGGAGGUCAAGACCAGCCUGGUCAACAUGGCGAAACCCUGUCUCUAUUAAAAAUAUAAAAAUGAGCUGAGUAUGGUGAUGCACGCCUGUAAUCCUAGCUACUUGGGAGGCUUGAGGCAGGAGAAUCACUUGAACCCAGAAGGCAGAGGUUGCCGUGAGAUGAGAUUGUGCCACUGCACUCCAGCCUGUGUGACAAAACAAGACUCCUCCUGGAAAAAAAAAAAAAAAAAAAAGGAAACCUGAGAUUCUGCUUAACAAUUGUAAAGUCAGAAGGUAUGAAGAGUAUUUGAAGUUAGACCUGUGGACAGGCUGAUUGGAUCUUCAGCAGUAUGAGAAAGUUUAGUUAAGCCAAGGUACUAUGUAAAACUCCAAGCUGUACAGAGCUCUGCCUGGCCAGCUGGUCAGCACUUGGGUAAUGAGGAAUUGAUAAAUGGCAAAUUGCUUCAUUGAAUGAUUGGAUUAAUAGUAGCAUGAAUGGAUAAAUUAACGGGAAUGGGUAUAUAAAUGGGUAUGAGAUCAGGAAUAUUAAUGGAGUCACAAGUAGAUGAUGCGUAAAUGGGACUAUAUGUGUGGAUUGAUGGAUGGAUGGACCCUGAAAUGCAUUUUUGAUGGAAUUAGGGAACAAGAAUAAAUAUAAUAGGAAGUGUGGUAUGCAUGUAAGCAUGUUUGUGUGUGUAUGUGUAUAUAGGUUGAUGCAAGAGUGGAAGGGUAGUAAGGACAAAAACUUUGGACAGCUAUAUUGACAAUGCAAAAUAAAAACAUGAAUGUAUGAAUGUAUGAAUUUGACGGAUAUGUGCUUGAAAGAAUGAAGUCAGUUUAGGAAAGGAUAAUUAACAAAUCUCAGUAAUGAUUGUAAUCAUGUGAUUCUCACAGUAACUGUUCAACAGUGACUGUUAAGGAUGCUGCGUGCUCAUGGCAGUAACUCAUGGGCAGAUGUCACAAAGACAGUAAUACCUCUUAUUGCUUUUAUGACAGCAUAAGGUUUUAUUUUUCACUGUGGCUUUGUUAGAGUUAUGGAAAGUCAUCCAUUGCCUCUUAAAUACGUAAUGGUAAAUUGGGUAAAGGAAUUGGGUAAAUCACAUGGUUUUCCAAAACUUCAGGAGAUUUAGAAGCUGUAUUUUAUGUUUUCUCAAGGAAAGGAUGAAAAGGACACGUUAAACACUGAUAGUGUCUACUGUAGGAUACCUUUCUGGUCUCACAAACUAGGUAUACUUUCUACUUAAAUGGAAACUAUCCCCUUCACAGUGGGAACCAAUAAAAACCUCACCCAGGUAAAAAUCCAGCGUCUCAGUGAUGCUAUCUCCCUAUCAUGAGGUAAUUCACAGUAAUCUGUACCUUAAGUCUCAGUGUACCUACUGUUGGCCCAGAGAUAGGUGAAACUUAAAGAUAAUUGUACCUUGGCUGCAUGUAGUGGCUCAUGCCUAUAAUCCCAGCACUUUGGGAAGCUGAGGCGGGCAGAUCACACCGUCAGGAGUUAAAGACCAGCCUGGCUAACAUGGUGAAACCCUGUCUCUACUAAAAAUACACCACACCCUGGUGUGGUGGUGUGUGCCUGUAAUACCAGCUACUCAGAACGCUGAGGCAGGAGAAUCGCUUGAACCCGGGAGGCAGAGGUUGCAGUGAGCUGAGAUCGUGCCAUUGCACUCCAGUCUGGGCAAUAGGGUGAGACUCCAUCUCAAAAAAAUAAUAAUUGAACCUUAUUUCCUUUUGUACAAUGUACAAUGAGCAGAGUCAGGGCAACUAUAAUACAACUCCAAACUCUAAGGUGUCAAAUGUGAUAGAAAUCACUUUUCCAUUGAAAUUUUGAAAUCCCUCUGGAAAUACACUGUGAAGGCUCCCUAUACUGUGCUAGAGAGUGUUUUACUAGGGCCUGGAAGAUGCUCACUUUUUCCUUGUUUUCCUUGGCUGUAGCUUUUACCUCUGGCACACUUUCCCAAUCCCCUUAUCCUACUUAAUUAUUUUUAAAAUAGGCAUUGUGGAGGAUGUUUGUUCAUAUUUUAAGUCUUAAUCAUGGGCUUCUAGUUUCUUUGGAAGUAAAAGUGACCCAUUAAAAAUGUAAAAUGUGUUAUGUGCAUCAUGGGCACAGGAGUUUCGUGGCCUAUAUGUGAUUCUAACUUAUAUCUUACCAUGGUGAUCGUAGAACCAUGUGUUGAUAUGUAAUUUUCAAAAGAGGUGAAUGCCCUUGGCACAGUAAUCUGUCAUAUUUAGCAAAGCUUCCCUGAGAGCCAUCAUAACAGACCCACAGGAAUAUUUUCAUUAGUAAGAAGUAGAUGUGUUCAGCCAGUAAAAUUUUGAAGUGGCCAUGACUUCAAUCUGAGUACAGAGGGAAAGUUACACACAAUAAUUCAGUGAUUGGUGGAUAGGUGCGUUCAAGGAGGCAGGGUUGGAUUGGUGUUUUCAAGCUUGGUAGUAGUAGUAGACAGGCAGACAUGUGAGUUGAUGGAAGGAUGCAAGAAUGGUUACUGAAAUUUUCUUUGUAUUAUAUGGUUAAUGUGGAUUUAAUAACUAGUCAUUGAAAUUAUGUGGGAUUGGAUAUUUAAAGCCCAGAAAGAUGAAUAUAAUAAUCGUCUAAUAUAAUUUGAAAUAUAAUAACGGAUGCAUGCAAAAUUGGGUGUAUUGAAUAAUGUAAGAAAUAGAUGGAAAGUAGAAUAUGAGCAAAUGGCUGGAUGCAAGAAUGGAGAAUGCAGGUUUUAAAAACCUGUUGGGUGUAUGUAUGGUUAUAUGCACAGUGGAAUCAUUUAGUGAAGGUGCAGAUGGUUAUAUGCCUAGGUGUUAUCAUUGGAUGGAUCAAAAAUGGAAUGCUGUAUGGAUAGAUCUUUAGAUUGAUGAGUACAAAUAUGGCUAUCUAAAACCUUGGAUAAAUGUAGGGAUCAGGGUUCAGGUACAUUGGUUGCAUAAGUGAUAGCUGCCUGUUUGGUGGCUUUAGAGUGGCUUAAUAGACUGAUAGAUGGGUUGAUUCACAAGGUGAUGGUACAGGAAUUUGAUGACUAUGAGAAUGGGCUGAUGCAAUAAUAAAGUCAUAUAUGUAAAGUUGACUGGAAAGAUGGACAUUUGAAAGCCAAUGGUAUAUUUUCACGGGCAGAUUCAUUAUGAAAUUAUAAAAGUUUUGUUUUUGCAUUCUCAACAUGAUGUGUUAGCAAAUAAGCAAAAACUAACUGCAGUGGGUUCACAAGUUAGUUUAAUUAAAAUGAUCUUUCAAUAUUUUAAUAAUUUGGGGACUUUAGGAGGUUGAGGAAUGAGAGAACUUCACCUUCUGUAUAUUAACUGGUCGUAUGUCACAAUUUUCCCAUAUUUUUCACAGUUAUAGCUGAGGUGGUACCAGUUUAAGAAGUGAGAACUUCUUCACUGACUGAAAUUUGCAUAUCAAUCCAAAUCAUUGUGCUUAUUUACUAUUUUUGUAGACGUCAUUCUUCAAAAGUGCUGCAUCUUCAAUAGUCAAGGAGGACAAAGACAUCUUUCCUGCAGGUGGUGACCAUGUGGAUAAUAGGAUCAUAGACAAAUGGUGGUUCCAUCUACAGCAUCACCGAAAUGCUGUUGUUACUGCUUCUUUCUGGGAUCUUCUUGCAUCUUUGCUUCUAAAGGGGCACACCUUUUAUAGAAGUACGUCCAGGAAUAGAAGUGACCUGCUUUUUCGCAAGUAAUUGCCUGGAAUGUUUUUAUGUACUUCUCUGCACUCUCAAUACAUUUCAUGCUUCCCUCUAUUUUUGUAUAUUAACUCAUUGUAUUUCUUAAAUUUAUAUUUUACUUUAUGAAUGGAAGUGAGAUUUGUGUAUGGUAAAUAUAAUUAAUUCAACCCCAUGGAUACGUUAGUCACUGUCCAGAUGAUGGCAAGUCUUUCUCAGAAGCAGAGGGCCUUGGUGUGCCAGUGAUUUUUUUUCCCCAUGUGUAAGAUACUUUUUUUCCUCAUUUGAAUCAGGAGCCCACAGUUUUUAGACAAGUCCCAAAUGAAAUCUUAAGCAUUUGUGUUAUCUGGACUAGACCUUCUGUAGUAUCCUUUUUGUUAGACCUAGUAUAUCUCAUUGCAGAUCAGGAUCUGAGAUUGACUAUAGUUCACCUCUUUCCAAGUACACAAACUUGGAUGACAUGACAACUGAGUGUGUAAGGGAGAGCGAGACCCUUGCACUGCCAUUUGAGCCCUUGUGAUCUCAUCUUGUAGAACAUGUUGUACAAUCAUUUUAUUGGUAUCAUUAGUGUUAUUUGGGGCUGGAAUAAAAAUCUCAGUGCACCAAAGAGAUUUCCCCUUUAUCCACGUUACCCUGGUUUUCCUUUGUUUUCUGUUUAACCUAAACGGGCUUAAUAUAAAAUAGUGCUUAUUUGGUGUUUUAAUUGUCUGCUUCUAUAACAUAAGCUGCACUGUCCAUUGGGGAACUGCUCACCAUAUUGCCCAACCUGUCUUGAUAGGUUUAUACAUGGGAGGCAUUCAGUAAUAUUAAUUACCUCUCUAGACCAGUGUUAGCAAUAACAAACACUUGCUAGAAUUUUAAGACUAUAUAAUCAAUCACUUUGAUGUCAGUUAAUCCUACCAACACAAGAUUAAAGGUUUAAAAAUCUCAUACGUGUACAGCCAUUAGUGUCUCCUUUCAUACUAUAUUAUUUUGUUCAUUGGCAGCUAGAUUUUUAGGUAGAACUUGUGUUCCUUUUUGCAAUGCUCAUUUAUUUUACCUGGACAGAAGGUGCUCUUCUGUCUCUUCUCCAAAGUUAAUUUAUCUCAUACUAUUUCUUGUGUUAAUAUUUUCCAAGUUCAGUAUGCUGUUCUGGUUAUAAGAAGAUCAGUGUCCUAAUCACACACUUUUACAUUAUAUGAAACAUCAUACAGAGUUUUGUAGUCUGUAUAACAAUACACAGAGGUAGCAAAAUUUGUAAAAGAGCAGACUAUAUAGUCCAUACUGUAGUAACUACUCAACAUUGCCAUUAUACGUGAAAUCGGCUAUAACCAAUUCAUAAACAAAUGAAUUUGGCCGUGUUCUAGUAAAACUUAUUUACAAAAACAUGUGUUAGGCCAGAUUUGGACCACAGGCUGUAGAUUUCUGACCUCUGGCUUACAGCAGAAGUUUAUUAUGAUCCUGGGGAAGGUGGAUAUACAUGGAAGGCAGAAGCGAGAAGAUGUAUUCCAUCCCAUGUCAUUUUUCUGAACCCUCAACGUAGGAAGUUAAACUAAAACAUGGGGCAGAAUCUGCUUUAAGCCUUUGAAUUCUUGGCUCUUAAAGCCAGGUUGAGGGUUAUGUGUUUUUAUUCUUUUAUAUCUCCUUUUCACUUAGGCUUGGCAACUAGUUCAUUGAAACAGAGCCAACAAGAAUGAGUGAGUCACUCAGUGAUAUGAAGCAAGCUGUGGUCAUUUAUCUACUACCUUCCAUACCUACUUCCUAGGUUUGAUAAGUAGUGUUUGUAGUGUAGUUGUCAGUAACUUUUCUCAGCUUACAUAAGUUUAUGUGGAAUUCAUUUACAAAUGUGUGAUUAUUACGAUAGAUGUUAUUUUAUAAAUUUCAAGGUUCUUUAAUACAGCAUGGACAUGUUUCUAAAUCAAUAAAUAUAGCUUACCCACAGACUUUUUAUGGGAUGUAAAGUAUGUAUUACAACAGGUAAAUCCAUUUCUCUGUUUUGGGAAAGCAGGUUAAUGUUUUGUUUGUUUUGUUGCUGCAUAUAAUGUUGCACUAUAUAUAUAUUCUAAUGCAGUUGGUCUCCUAAUUCUACAGGAUAAAUGUCUAGCUGUGGCAUUGUUGGAUCAUCAGUUUCGUUUCAGUUAGAUGCUGUGAAAUUGCUCUUGAAAAUGGUGUCCUCUGCCACCACAGAACGGUGUUGUAAUGGAAGUGCCAAUUUUCAUAAAAACUUGUGUGCAACAGGUAUUAAGAAUUUUUGAGGUCGGGCGCAGUAGCUCACGCCUGUAAUCCCAGCACUUUGGGAGGCCUAGGCAGGUGGAUCACCUGAGGUCAGGAGUUCCAGACCAGCCUGACCAACAUGGUGAAAUCCCAUCUCCACUAAAUACAAAAAAUUAGCUGGGCGUGGUGGCAUAUACCUGUAAUCCCAGCUACUUGGGAGGCUAAGACAGGAGAAUUGCUUGAACCCAGGAGGCGGAGGUUGCAGUGAGCCGAGAUUGCACCACUACACUCCAGCCUGGGUGAUGAGCGA